rnacentral:rRNA from 1 species
GAUGAACGCUGGCGGCGUGCCUAAUACAUGCAAGUCGAGCGAACGGACGAGAAGCUUGCUUCUCUGAUGUUAGCGGCGGACGGGUGAGUAACACGUGGAUAACCUACCUAUAAGACUGGGAUAACUUCGGGAAACCGGAGUUAAUACCGGAUAUUAUUUUGAACCGCAUGGUUCAAAAGUGAAAGACGGUCUUGCUGUCACUUAUAGAUGGAUCCGCGCUGCAUUAGCUAGUUGGUAAGGUAACGGCUUACCAAGGCAACGAUGCAUAGCCGACCUGAGAGGGUGAUCGGCCACACUGGAACUGAGACACGGUCCAGACUCCUACGGGAGGCAGCAGUAGGGAAUCUUCCGCAAUGGGCGAAAGCCUGACGGAGCAACGCCGCGUGAGUGAUGAAGGUCUUCGGAUCGUAAAACUCUGUUAUUAGGGAAGAACAUAUGUGUAAGUAACUGUGCACAUCUUGACGGUACCUAAUCAGAAAGCCACGGCUAACUACGUG